CGAACCAAGUAGAAGUAUCCGCUUCUCACCUGUAGCGACGCGUAAAGCAGUUGGCAGGUCAAUAGACAUGGACUAAUCAUGUGAUUGAAGAGCGGGUACAGUAUACCCGCUCUUUUUACUUGGU
rfam:Staphylococcus pettenkoferi VCT012 contig00023, whole genome shotgun sequence.